rnacentral:rRNA from 1 species
UGGCGGACGGGUGAGUAACGCGUGAGAAUCUACCUUCAGGACGGAGACAACAGUUGGAAACGACUGCUAACCCCCGAUGUACCGAAAGGGCAAAUAUUUAUAGCCGGAAGAAGAGCUCGCGUCCGAUUAGCUAGUUGGAGAGGUAAAAGCUCACCAAGGCGACGAUGGGUAGCUGGUCUGAGAGGACGAUCAGCCACACUGGGACCGAGACACGGCCCAGACUCCUACGGGAGGCAGCAGUGGGGAAUUUUCCGCAAUGGGCGAAAGCCUGACGGAGCAAUGCCGCGUGGAGGAUGACAGCCUGUGGGUCGUAAACUCCUUUUCUCAGAGAAGAAGUUCUGACGGUAUCUGAGGAAUAAGCAUCGGCUAACUCCGUGCCAGCAGCCGCGGUAAGACGGAGGAUGCAAGUGUUAUCCGGAAUCACUGGGCGUAAAGCGUCUGUAGGUGGUUUAAAAAGUCCACUGUUAAAAAUUGAAGCUUAACUUCAAAGAUGCUGUGGAAAC